GACUGGUUGAACAGUUAAGCUGUGAGUCAGAUGAUGCGUGCACACGUUCCGGCCCUGCCCUGCUUCUGCACCUGUCUUGGAGGGAGGAAGCAGACCAUGAGACUGUUGAUAGUUACAAUAAGUUGGGAAGGAGACAUCUCUCAGCUGCUUCCAGGACCGCAUUGAUGCCAUGAAUUCCGGAUCAACUGCAGCUGCAAUGUUCAUGGUGGGACUUCUCCUGGUGGGAGAAUGUCCGACGCCAUCUCCACACGGUGACGUCCAGAAAGAUCGGUGUUCGUUUGUGCGUCCUGCGUUGAUGUAGCCAGUAGUGAGUCAGUACAUUUUGUAAAUGGAGGCUCCUUUUGUAUUCAGUGCUUCAGUACGUUUCUGUGGUGUGCAGGCCUGGUGUAUGACUGAUUUGGUUCCUGUGACUGUGUCGAUGGCCGGGAAAGUAUUGUUAAAGUAUUGGUCAAUUACUGUUAAUUUUGUUCUUUAUAAACAGGGUUUUCCCUGGUUCGCCAUCUGUUGUCAUUUCUGGUUUAUGUCGUGGUCAGUGGUUGUCGGGAACCUAGACCAUUACAUAAUCUGCCUCGUGUCGUUAUCUUGGGUCCCGAAACGAGAGAACGGCACAGGCCAGAAAGGAAGGCAGGUGGUUGAAAAGCCUAUUUUGUAUUUAAGUCCUUUAGAAAUGGUAGGCUUCUUGGUAUCGACAGUCACAGAAACCGAAUCAAAACAAACAGAAUACAAAGUGUACAAUUUCACGGUCAUCAUGCAUAUCACGAUGUUAGAUACAUGUACAUUUAGUUAAGCUUAUUUAUGUUAAGUAUUAGGUAUAGUUUCUCCAUAUUUCUGAGUGUAGGUGUCGUCUUUUUUGUAGAGAGGCUUGGAGAUGUAGUGUUGUUCAGACAUUUUUUAGGGUAUUUGUGUAAUGCCAUACCAUUCCAUUACAGGGAUGUUUGAAGCUGGAUUCAUUUUUAUUUUGUGUAUUUCAUUUUUUCAUUCUUGUAGAAAAGUGGUCGGGUUAGAAUCAGUAGAUGUCAACAUUGUCCGUUGAUUGUGUAGAGGCUGUUUAUAGCCCUAUAAAACCGUUCUUUGGAAAUUUCCUUUGUACCUAAGGCUAAGGCUGCUGCUGACACUAACACGAUGACGCACACACACAUACACACACACACACACUAACAGACUAACCCCACCAAACACACACCAACAUACUAAUGCAACAUCUUUUUGACGGACACUAAUAAUCAGCUCAAAUGCCUUAGCCUUAAACUGAAAAAAACUUUGAUUCUUUAAGUACAAGGGCUCCCAGCUACCUCUAUACCGUGUACUGACGAUGUCAAUAUGUACUGAGUCUUGUACUUGUUAAUCUAAAUAGGUUAGAUGUUAAGUUAUUUUUUGAUGCUAGGGUAUCUUUGCUCAUCAUGCGGUUUAUAUAUCAUACACUUUGCAUUCAUCUGUUUUGUCAACAAUUGCUAUUAAACAAAUAUGUUGAAAUCA